AGUCCAGAGUUCCCACCAUAUGUGUGAGUGCCCUACUCCUAGUCUCUCUCCACUCUCAAUAUGUAGGUCUAGUUCACCUUUCUAUCUUCUACGCAAACUCAGAUCUCCACCGGCCAGUUAUUUCCCACUUUUAUCUGUUUUCCGGUAUCUUAACUAUUUUAUAUCUUUUUUAUGUUCUUGAACUCUUGAUUGUUUUCGUAUUUUCCUACUUUUCUGAUAGGGUUUUCUAUCAAAUCUACUUUUUUUUAUUGGCAUAAAGACAAUUAGAUAAAGGGUUUCUUAUAGAUUGGCUGGAAUCUAAGCACAAGGGUGUGUUUUUUCUGUAGAUUUAAUAAUGAAAAUACUGAUCACACACCAGAAAAGAGAAAUAGGGCUUUGCUGUUAUUGUAUUUUUUUAUUGUAUUUAGUUUGAAGAUUUUGUAAAGGAGUUACUACAGUAGAUCUUUUGGUUCCAUUUGGUACCCCUCACUUCAUGACUUUAGGAUUCCGCCAAUCUAGAUGUGCCACAUCAGACCUUCCCUCGUGGCCUUAAUUAUUGAGACUGAACCCCUUGAAACAUAAAUUUGUGUUAGCCAAUUUUUUCAUCUCAAAGUCCCUCAAAUCAAACCCUGUUCUUCAUAUUCAUGGGCUUAAUGAAUCGGCUGUGGCCAACGGCUAGGUUAUCUGGUAGAUACAUCGAUCGCAGUCGUUGUUUUCCGGCGUGGCAUCAUCAAGAUUCACGUACAAAAUGCAAAAGCGUUUUGAGGAUGAGAAUCUUGAUGAUGCUGCAUCGGAAAUAAAACGACUACAAGUAGCAGAUCAAGGAGAUUCAAGGAAGCAAAAGGAUAUGUUUACAUGAACUGAUUAUUCUUUUUAUUUUUUUAGAUGUAACAAGCAUGUAGAGAUACUUAUGAUCAUGUGUACGUUUUUAGUUUUAUGUCCAUAUAAUGUCUGGAUCUAUGUAAACUGCUUUCAUUGCCUCUAGUGUCUUACUAUGGAUCUAUGUAAACUGCUUUCAUUGCCUCUAGUGUGUUACUAGAAAGCAUAUGUUAAUAUAUUGUGUGGUUCCAAAAAAA